UCCGGCUCAACGCCGGCGGUCUCUCUAGAGUCCCCGGCUUUACCCGCUGGCAACUAGAGACAAGGGUUUCGCUCGUUAAGGGACUUAACCCGACAUCUCACGACACGAGCUGACGACAGCCAUGCAGCACCUGUGCACGUUCCACCCGAAGGCGUGGCCCUGCUUUCACAGGGUUAAUCCGUGCAUGUCAAGACUAGGAUAAGGUUCUUCGCGUAGCCUCGAAUUAAGCCACAUCCUCCGCCGCUUGUGUGAGCCCCCGUCAAUUUCUUUGAGUUUCAGCCUUGCGACCGUACUCCCCAGGCGGCAUAUUUAACGCGUUAGCUCCGGCACGGAUCAAAUGAAUGACCCACACCAAAUAUGCAUCGUUUAGGGCGUGGACUAC
rnacentral:misc_RNA from 1 species